CUGCGGCCAAUUAAGCCAACUGUGCUCUUUGUCCACGGGGGCCCAGUGUGCCAUGGCUGCAAACGGUAGCCUCCUUGGUAGUGUAUGCAACCUGCUGAUUGUAUGGGUUGCCCUAAGGGACCUUGGAGACAGCA
rnacentral:snoRNA from 1 species